GAGGGCGGUGCUAUACAUGCAGUCGAGCGGACAGAUGGGAGCUUGCUCCCUGAUGUUAGCGGCGGACGGGUGAGUAACACGUGGGUAACCUGCCUGUAAGACUGGGAUAACUCCGGGAAACCGGGGCUAAUACCGGAUGCUUGUUUGAACCGCAUGGUUCAAACAUAAAAGGUGGCUUCGGCUACCACUUACAGAUGGACCCGCGGCGCAUUAGCUAGUUGGUGAGGUAAUGGCUCACCAAGGCAACGAUGCGUAGCCGACCUGAGAGGGUGAUCGGCCACACUGGGACUGAGACACGGCCCAGACUCCUACGGGAGGCAGCAGUAGGGAAUCUUCCGCAAUGGACGAAAGUCUGACGGAGCAACGCCGCGUGAGUGAUGAAGGUUUUCGGAUCGUAAAGCUCUGUUGUUAGGGAAGAACAAGUACCGUUCGAAUAGGGCGGUACCUUGACGGUACCUAACCAGAAAGCCACGGCUAACUACGUGCCAGCAGCCGCGGUAAUACGUAGGUGGCAAGCGUUGUCCGGAAUUAUUGGGCGUAAAGGGCUCGCAGGCGGUUCCUUAAGUCUGAUGUGAAAGCCCCCGGCUCAACCGGGGAGGGUCAUUGGAAACUGGGGAACUUGAGUGCAGAAGAGGAGAGUGGAAUUCCACGUGUAGCGGUGAAAUGCGUAGAGAUGUGGAGGAACACCAGUGGCGAAGGCGACUCUCUGGUCUGUAACUGACGCUGAGAGCGAAAGCGUGGGGAGCGAACAGGAUUAGAUACCCUGGUAGUCCACGCCGUAAACGAUGAGUGCUAAGUGUUAGGGGUUUCCGCCCCUUAGGCUGGCAGCUAACGCAUUAAGCACUCCGCCUGGGGAGUACGGUCGCAAGACUGAAACUCAAAGGAAUUGACGGGGGCCCGCACAAGCGGUGAGCAUGUGGUUUAAUUCGAAGCAACGCGAAGAACUUACCAGGUCUUGACAUCCUCUGACAUCCUAGAGAUAGGACGUCCCCUUCGGGGGCAGAGUGACAGUGUGCAUGAUGUCGUCAGCUCGUGUCGUGAAAUGUAGGUAAGUCCGCAACAGCGCAACCCUUGAUCUUAGU
rnacentral:rRNA from 1 species